UACGGAGGGGGCUAGCGUUGUUCGGAAUCACUGGGCGUAAAGGGUGCGUAGGCGGGUUAUUAAGUCAGAGGUGAAAUCCUGGAGCUCAACUCCAGAACUGCCUUUGAUACUGAUAGUCUUGAGUAUGGGAGAGGUGAGUGGAACUGCGAGUGUAGAGGUGAAAUUCGUAGAUAUUCGCAAGAACACCAGUGGCGAAGGCGGCUCACUGGCCCAUUACUGACGCUGAGGCGCGAAAGCGUGGGGAGCAAACAGG
rnacentral:rRNA from 1 species